GAAGGGAGCUUGCUCCCGGAUGUUAGCGGCGGACGGGUGAGUAACACGUGGGUAACCUGCCUGUAAGACUGGGAUAACUCCGGGAAACCGGAGCUAAUACCGGAUAGUUCCUUGAACCGCAUGGUUCAAGGAUGAAAGACGGUUUCGGCUGUCACUUACAGAUGGACCCGCGGCGCAUUAGCUAGUUGGUGGGGUAAUGGCUCACCAAGGCGACGAUGCGUAGCCGACCUGAGAGGGUGAUCGGCCACACUGGGACUGAGACACGGCCCAGACUCCUACGGGAGGCAGCAGUAGGGAAUCUUCCGCAAUGGACGAAAGUCUGACGGAGCAACGCCGCGUGAGUGAUGAAGGUUUUCGGAUCGUAAAGCUCUGUUGUUAGGGAAGAACAAGUGCGAGAGUAACUGCUCGCACCUUGACGGUACCUAACCAGAAAGCCACGGCUAACUACGUGCCAGCAGCCGCGGUAAUACGUAGGUGGCAAGCGUUGUCCGGAAUUAUUGGGCGUAAAGGGCUCGCAGGCGGUUUCUUAAGUCUGAUGUGAAAGCCCCCGGCUCAACCGGGGAGGGUCAUUGGAAACUGGGAAACUUGAGUGCAGAAGAGGAGAGUGGAAUUCCACGUGUAGCGGUGAAAUGCGUAGAGAUGUGGAGGAACACCAGUGGCGAAGGCGACUCUCUGGUCUGUAACUGACGCUGAGGAGCGAAAGCGUGGGGAGCGAACAGGAUUAGAUACCCUGGUAGUCCACGCCGUAAACGAUGAGUGC
rnacentral:rRNA from 1 species